rnacentral:rRNA from 1 species
GAUGAACGCUGGCGACGUGCCUAAUACAUGCGAGUCGUACGGAAAGGCCCUUCGGGGUACUCGAGUGGCGGACGGCUGAGUAACGCGUGGGAACGUGCCCCAAAGUGAGGGAUAACGCACCGAAAGGUGUGCUAAUACCGCAUAUGGUCUUCGGAUUAAAGCUUCGGCGCUUUGGGAGCGGCCCGCGUACGAUUAGAUAGUUGGUGAGGUAAUGGCUCACCAAGUCGACGAUCGUUAGCUGGUCUGAGAGGAUGAUCAGCCAGACUGGGACUGAGACACGGCCCAGACUCCUACGGGAGGCAGCAGUAAGGAAUCUUCCACAAUGGGGGCAACCCUGAUGGAGCAACGCCGCGUGCAGGAUGAAGGUUUUCGGAUCGUAAACUGCUUUUAUAAGUGAAGAAUAUGACGGUAACUUAUGAAUAAGGAUCGGCUAACUACGUGCCAGCCGCCGCGGUAA